rnacentral:rRNA from 1 species
AGUGAACGCUGGCGGUAGGCCUAACACAUGCAAGUCGAACGGCAGCACAGUAAGAGCUUGCUCUUACGGGUGGCGAGUGGCGGACGGGUGAGGAAUACAUCGGAAUCUACUUUUUCGUGGGGGAUAACGUAGGGAAACUUACGCUAAUACCGCAUACGACCUACGGGUGAAAGCAGGGGAUCUUCGGACCUUGCGCGAUUGAAUGAGCCGAUGUCGGAUUAGCUAGUUGGCGGGGUAAAGGCCCACCAAGGCGACGAUCCGUAGCUGGUCUGAGAGGAUGAUCAGCCACACUGGAACUGAGACACGGUCCAGACUCCUACGGGAGGCAGCAGUGGGGAAUAUUGGACAAUGGGCGCAAGCCUGAUCCAGCCAUACCGCGUGGGUCAAGAAGGCCUUCGGGUUGUAAAGCCCUUUUGUUGGGAAAGAAAAGCAGCAGGUUAAUACCCCGCUGUUCUGACGGUACCCAAAGAAUAAGCACCGGCUAACUUCGU